rnacentral:rRNA from 1 species
AACGGCCGCGGUAUCCUAACCGUGCGAAGGUAGCGUAAUCACUUGUUCUUUAAAUGAGGACUAGUAUGAAUGGCACCACGAGGGUUAAACUGUCUCCUUUUUUUAAUCAGUGAAACUAAUCUCCCCGUGAAGAAGCGGGGAUUCUUUUAUAAGACGAGAAGACCCUAUGGAGCUUUAAACAAGUUAACACCUGCUACUAAUCNNUUCACUUUCCUGAACCACCACAUUAAAUAUAGCACCUCUGAUUAACAGUUUUCGAUUGGGGUGAUCAUGGAGCAAAAAUCAACCUCCACGACGAAAAGGAACACCUCCUUGAGCCAAAAGCUACAACUUUAAGCACUAAAAAACUAACGCACUUUGACCCAAUUCUUUGAGCAACGAACCAAGUUACCCUAGGGAUAACAGCGCAAUCCACUUUAAGAGCUCCUAUCGACAAGUGGGUUUACGACCUCGAUGUUGGAUCAGGGUAUCCCAGUGGUGCAGCCGCUACUAAAGGUUCGUUUGUUCAACGAUUAAAACCCUACGUGAUCUGAGUUCAGACCGGAGUAAUCCAGGUCAGUUUCUAUCUAUAAAGGGCUUUUUCUAGUACGAAAGGACCGAAAAAGCAUGGCCUAUAACCCAUCAAGCCAUAUAAAUUACUAUUGUUCCCAACUUAAAUAGAAGUAAACCUACCACUUAUCUCGAUAAAAGAGAAGUUAACGUAGCAUAACCUGGCCUUGCAG